UGGCGAACGGGUGAGUAACACGUGGGUGAUCUGCCCUGCACUUCGGGAUAAGCUUGGGAAACUGGGUCUAAUACCGGAUAGGAGCCAUCUUUAGUGUGGUGGUUGGAAAGUUUUUUCGGUGUAGGAUGAGCUCGCGGCCUAUCAGCUUGUUGGUGGGGUAAUGGCCUACCAAGGCGGCGACUGGUAGCCGGCCUGAGAGGGUGUACGGCCACAUUGGGACUGAGAUACUGCCCAG
rnacentral:rRNA from 1 species